GGCAAAGUGGCUGAGUAAGUGGUGGGUUGUAGCCCCGAACACGGAGGUGUUAGUCCUCCCUUUGUCA
rnacentral:tRNA from 1 species